rnacentral:misc_RNA from 1 species
CGCCGAGGAAAACCGGAAUCGCGCCCGACUUCGCCAUGGCGUAGGCGCGCUUGCUGGUCUCACGGGUCCAUGCCUUGAUUUCGCGGUAGUGCUUUGCAUUCGGCGGCGGCGCUUCAUCGCUGAAUGUGNNNNNNNGAGAUAUCGCCGAGGUCCUCAACCUUGAAGUCGAGGCUUUCCAGCAGCGGCGCGAUGCCCGCCGUACGCAGCGCCGCCGGCCCCAUCAGCGCGCCCUUCUGCGAGGCGCNNNNNNGAUCGGCACGCCGAGCAGUGAAAUGUCCCUGGGAUAGGAGCUUGUCACGGCAACCUCGCGG